rnacentral:lncRNA from 1 species
GAUACGCCAAUUAUGACAACGAGGUCAAGGAGGAUAUUUAUGUAAGUAUUUAUUUAUAUUCAUUUAUUGUAAAUUUCAUUACAAUAGAUAAUAUUUAAAUUAUAAUUGAUAAUCUUACUUUGUUUCCCUUGUUUUUUUUUUGUUAAAUUUUUUUUAGGCUUCUAUGGUACAGAAAAAAGAUGAGUACCUCGUUAACCUCUUCUAGCAACAUUCAGACAUGCCUAUGGACUAUUUGACACCUGAUCUAGAGUUUUCUCUCCAUAUGUUGAUGGACGGGUUAAGGGAAGGAAAAGCAAGGAUGUUUAGUACCUAGGACUGGGUUGAGUUCGGGAAGUCGAGUCUUCUUAUUUAUCUAGCUUUACUUCAUCAAUCUAGACUUCCAAACUUCCAGACUUCAGCAGGUGGAGGAGCUGGCACGCCAAAGGCACUUGUACUUCACUAUUGUAUCCCAGUUGUUGUCAGCUUCUGGCAUUAGGUUCCCAAGCUGCUAAUCGAGCUUUUGCAACCAUUCCUUCCGCCAUUUUAGGAGCCCCUUAGCAGCCGCCCAAACAACUGCCUCAUCAGCCACAGGACCC